GAUGAACGCUGGCGGCGUGCCUAAUACAUGCAAGUCGAGCGAACAGACGAGGAGCUUGCUCCUCUGACGUUAGCGGCGGACGGGUGAGUAACACGUGGAUAACCUACCUAUAAGACUGGGAUAACUUCGGGAAACCGGAGCUAAUACCGGAUAAUAUAUUGAACCGCAUGGUUCAAUAGUGAAAGACGGUUUUGCUGUCACUUAUAGAUGGAUCCGCGCCGCAUUAGCUAGUUGGUAAGGUAACGGCUUACCAAGGCAACGAUGCGUAGCCGACCUGAGAGGGUGAUCGGCCACACUGGAACUGAGACACGGUCCAGACUCCUACGGGAGGCAGCAGUAGGGAAUCUUCCGCAAUGGGGGAAAGCCUGAUGGAGCAACGCCGCGUGAGUGAUGAAGGUCUUCGGAUCGUAAAACUCUGUUAUUAGGGAAGAACAAAUGUGUAAGUAACUAUGCACGUCUUGACGGUACCUAAUCAGAAAGCCACGGCUAUCUACGUG
rnacentral:rRNA from 1 species